rnacentral:misc_RNA from 1 species
CUCUCAUUCAUUUUGUACAAGGUCUCUCAUGAGAGCCAAUGCAGCUAAGGCGUUUGUUAGAGUUUGGAAGGUGAUGGAGGUUUGCUUUUUGAUUCUGGUUCAAGAAAAGAGGGUCACACAGAGAGAGCUCUUUUACAAGUUGCUUUGUGUUUCACCUGAAUAUUUCUCAUCUCAGUUGCAGGUUAAUAGGACAAUCCAAGAUGUUGUAGCCUUGCUUCGAUGCAGCCGUUAUAGUCUUGGAAUCAUGGCCUCUAGCAGAGGAGUUGUUGCUGGGCGCUUGUUGCUUCAGGAACCAAACCAAGAAGUUGUGGAUUGUGCUGAAUGUGGAUCUUCUGGGUAUGCCAUUUCUGGUGACUUGAAUAUGUUGGACAAAUUGCUUAUGACAACAGAUGCACGUUACAUCAUUGUGGUGGAGAAGCAUGCAAUAUUCCAGCGGUUGGCAGAGGAUCGUGUGUUCAAUCACAUCCCUAGCAUUCUCAUUACAGCUAAAGGGUACCCUGAUAUAGCCACAAGGUUUUUUCUUCACCGAAUGAGCCGCACUUUCCCUGAAUUGCCAAUUUUGGCACUGGUUGACUGGAACCCAGCAGGAUUAGCUAUACUGUGCACCUUCAAGUUUGGAAGCAUAGGGAUGGGUCUGGAGGCAUACAGAUAUGGUGCUUUCUUGCCAGUAUCAUUCCAAAUUUUAUCAUUGUCUGUUUGCCCAGGAUUUUAUUCAAUGGUUUCUUCCUUUGUCCAGCCUGCAAUGUAAAGUGGUUGGGACUGCGAGGGGGUGAUCUACAGCUAAUACCUGAAGAAUCACUAGUCCAGUUGAAGCCGCGGGACCUGCAGAUUGCUAACAGCUUGAUGUCCUCCGAAAUUUUACCCGAGAGCCACAGGGAAGAAUUGGCAUUAAUGAUUCAAAGUGGAAAAAGAGCAGAAAUUGAGGCUCUAUACUUCCAUGGAUACGAAUAUUUGGGGAAGUACAUGGCAAAGAAAAUUGUACAAGCCAAUUACAUAUAACAGCAGGGCAAACCAAGAAAUGAAAGGUAUGAAGUAGCAUCUGUAUGGCAUUGAGAGGCAAGAAUAUAUGAAACUCUGACUUUGGCCCUGGUGUCCCAGUUAAUACUUCUUCAACGUUUGGAAAUAUAUCAA